UUAAUCUCUCUUCACUUCUAAUUCGUAGCUUUAUUCCUGUUGCAAAGAUUUUGCAGCAAUAAACAACCAAAUUUUCACUUGUUGAAUAAAUGUUUAUGUAAACAAACAAGAACCGCUUCAGGGAUGUUAUGUUUAUACCUUUUUGAGAUGUAGAAUUAUAUUCUUAACUUAUUGUGGUUAUGGAUUUAUAUGCGAUUGAGAAUAAAAUCCAAGCGUUAACCCUGAAAGACCAACAUUUUCAAACUUCUGUUGCCACAGAAAAUUCUGAAUACUAUUAUUCUCUUUUUAACAAAGAUGAACAGGAUGGGAAUCUCCGAAGAAAAAUAUAUCUUUGUAUCAUGGAUCAGUUGCAACGAGAAAGAGAGGACACCACUUUCUCCAGAAACUGUCUCUUCUGCAAAAAGCAUUUCACUGGAAACAGAUCUAAUCUACUUGCCCACUUAAAGGAACAGCACAAUUUUUACAUUGGAGAUCCAAAUAACAUUGUGUUUAUAAAUGAAUUGUUAGAUCACCUGGAACAAAUGCUAAAGGGUUCGCAGUGCUUCUUUUGUGAAAGGAUAUAUAGAGAUUACCUUACUUUAAAGGAGCACAUGAGGAAAAAGCAACAUAAAAAAAUCGAUCCACUUAACAAAUACUACGACAGAUUUUAUUCAAUUAAUUAUUUGGAAUCAGGCAAAACAUGGAAAGAUGUUGAAAAAGAAGCUGAUGAUUAUUCUCAAGACAGUGGAAAGGAACUGAUGGAUUGGGGUGAUUGCAGUGUCACCUAUGUUUGCUUGUUCUGCUCAGAUUCUGCUUGUGAUUUCAACCAAGCCUGGCAGCAUAUGAAGGAAGUACAUGGUUUUGACUUUAAGCAGUUGAAGACGGCUCAUCAGUUAAAUUUUUAUCAGCAAAUCAGAUUAGUCAACUACAUACGGAAAAAGAUGUUUUCUGGAUGCAGAUGCAUGAGAAAGAGUGUAUUUCCUGUGACUUAAAGUUCGACUUCCAUGUAGACUUGCUGACACACUUAACGAUGUCUGGCCACCUAACCAUCUUGCCCCACCCAUCUCUCUGGGAUCAGCCCAUGUAUUAUUUUCCAACUUUUGAGAACGACAGCCUGCUGUGCGCUCUGGAGGACGAAAACUCGGACUGCGAAGAAGGAGCAAUCUACCCCGAAGACAUUCCAGUGUGAUCAGGUGUAAAUAGAAAUCGUUUGUUUAGUGCACACUUUCUAAUUUGUAAUUUAUUGUUAUUGGGACAUUUGUGUGUUUUCAAAAAUAGUGCACGAUUUUAAUGUUUUCAAAAAUUAAUUGUUUGUGUUUGUUAAUGUACCAACUGAUAAUAAUUUAAGAAUUAUAUUACUGCAUAGUGAAAUACAUUAAGGUCUGCAAUAAAAGCACAAUUAUAAUUAUUCCAAA